AACCACUUCUCGUCCUCGCGAACCCUGCCCAACCACUCGUCGCCUCCCCUUCCUCCCCGAGAACACGCGCCGCCGCCUCCUUCUCCCCGAUCCAGAUCGACACGCAAGCUCUCUCACCUAGCUAGCAUCGCCCCCUCCUCCCCCGUCCUCCCCCAGCCCUAGCCAUCCUCCCUUCCGCCACCACCGCCUGCUCCGCCUACUCCACCGCCGCCUCUGACGCCAUGGCGGAUGCCGACAGCAACAGCAACCCGCUGCUCGCCGACUUCGACUUCCCGCCCUUCGACCGCGUCGAGCCCGCGCACGUCUGCCGCGGGAUCCGCGCGCUCCUCGCCCGCCUCGUGUUAGGGUUUUGUUAUUCUUCUGCGCGAAAAGCCACGCAAGUCCGUGGAGGAGGGGAGGAGCAAGACGGGGUUGCUGGUCGGCGUGGACGACAGCGACCACAGCUACCGCGCGCUCGAGUGGGCUGUGAUUUACGUUGCGGAGACGGCCGGCACCGGGGCCCCUGUGGAGCUCGUCAUCGUCCAUGCCAAGCCGGCCGUGUCCUCCUUCUUCACCCUCGGCGGCCCCGGCACGUGCCGUCCGCGACCCCCUGCCUAGUAAUUCUUGGUUAUCUGAACCGGCCGGAGGCCUGAUUUCUGGAGAUCGAUCGAUUUUAGCCGCUGCCUUCUGUCUUCCACCCCUGCAUCCACUCGCUCCUCAUCUCCACGCCGCCUGUUGGCGACGUCCUCCUGACGCCAGGAGGAGUCGAAUGCAUCAAGUCCCCCUGCAUCGAGCACCGCCCUCAUCGGGUGGAUGGCACCAAGCGCACUCACACGCGUGGGGUCAAGGGCGUUUAGCGCGCCCCUGCCUGGCUAGAUCGCCAGCGCCUCCCCGCUCGAUCCCCUGCGCCCUGGACUCCGGAAGGUUGGUUGUGUCUGCUGGUGCAGGUGCAUGCAUCUCCCCUCGAGUUGAUGAGAUUCGAGAGAAGCCGAUGAGCGCCGUUCGGUGCGGCAUGGGACAGCUGCCAUGUGCUCUGCUCUUGGGACUUGUUUAAUCCUGAUAUAUCUGAUGAAAUAGUACUACUCUACUUCACUGUUUAAUUAGGCGAUGCAAAAUCCUGGUUCCAGAAUUGUAUUCUACCUAGCGGGAUACAUUCCUUGCCAUUGUAUCAUAUGGUUGAUUAGAUCGUAGUUCCAAGAGGAUCCCAAGAACAUGCUAGGAUUGCACCUGCGCCUUGCCUUGAUAUUAAUUAUUUGGUCUGGAAUGAUUGAUCUCUUUUUAUGGCCCUACUCAGGAUUGAGCUCCAAACUGAAUUAGAUGCAGCUGUUCAGUACAAUGGUUGUUCUUGAACUGCAGGGCCCGGAGGUUCCGCUGGUAACAAGUUCCGAAUAUCGCUUGGUCUGUCGGUGGCAGCCACUCUCAACUGCGCUAAUAACACUGGUGCCGAGAACCUCUACAUCAUUUCUGUGAAGGUAAUCAAGGGGCGCCUGAACAGGCUCCCUUCUGCCUGCGUUAAUGACAUGGUUAUGGCCAAUGUCAAGAAGGGAAAGCCACACCUGGGGAAGAAAGUCAUGCCGUCUGUCAUUGUGAGACAGCGUAAGCCAUGGCGCCGAAAGGACAGUGUCUUCAUGUACUUUGAAGGUGCUGGAGCAGCUGAGCGGACAGUCACCGGUGUUAUCCAAGGCGAGGUACAUUGUCAGGUCGUUCGGUACCAGGCGUAAUGAGAAGAUUUCAUGCUACGUAACUAUCAGGGGUGAGAAUGCGAUGUAGCUGCUGGAGAGUGGCCUGAAUUUGAAGGAGUACAAGCUGCUCAGGAGGAACCUCAGCGACACUGGAUGCUUUGCUUCGGUAUCCAUGAGCACAUCAAUCUCGGCAUGAAGUAGGUUGAAUUGUUGGCAACACUUCUUGUGUUAGUGAGCUACCGAGACUCUUGAGUUUGUGGUGAUGGCAGCUGACCCGGAGCUGAUCGAAAUCAUCCGCCACCCCCUGUUGCCCCCUGAUGAUAACAAGGGCGACCGUGGAAGGCAUGUUGCCGUUUUGUUUGUUCCCAGGCCUGAUUAUGGUCGUCCAGCGAGUCCGGCAUGUUGUUCAUUUGACUAUGGUCGCCCGGCGAGUCCAACAUGUUGUCAUUUUCUUGUAAAGCACUGUUGUAUUACACUUGUAGAGCUUGUAAAGUACUGUUUUACACAUGGUCAUAUGUAUUGGCAUGGAUAGAGCUUAUUACUAUGAUUGCGAUUGUAUUA